GAGACAUCCUUAUGGGGCAGGAUUUGUUUCAGUUGGUCUUUGGUGCUCACUGAGUCUGCCCCUUGAGUGUGUCUCU
rnacentral:pre_miRNA from 1 species